CAAGACAUUUUGCAGGAGAACUUAAGGCCAUCUGUCUACCAGCUGAAGCGCAACAGAAGAUGGGUGUUGCAACAGGACAAUGACCCAAAAUAGAGGUAAAUCAACAACAGAAUGGCUUAAACAGAAGAAAAUACACCUUCUGAAGUGGCCCAAUCAGAGUCCUGACCUCAACCCGAUUGAGAUGCUGUGGCAUGACCUCAAGAAAGCGAUUCACACCAGACAUCCCAAGAAUAUUGCUGAACUGAAACAGUUCUGUAAAGAGGAAUGGUCAAAAAAUUACUCCUGACUGUUGUGCAUGUCUGAUCUGCAACUACAGGAAACGUUUGGUUGAAGUUAUUGCUGCCAGAGGAGGUUCAGCC